GCCCUGGCUGCUUUCAGAAUUUGGGUUUGAUUCUUUGUUUUACAGUAAUGGGGGUUGAACCCAGGUGCCAUACCACUGAGCUAUAUCUCCAGCCCUUUUUAUUUUUUAUUUGGAGACGGGUCUCAUUAAGUUGUUGAGGGCCUCAUAAGUUGCUCAGGCUGACCUCCAACCUGUGAUCCUCCUCAGCCUCCUGAGUUACUGGGAUUACAGGCAUGUACUAUUGUGCCUGGCCCUAGCCCUUUUUAUUUUUUAUUUUCAGACAGAGUUCUGAGUUGUCCAGGCUGGCCUCGAACUUGCAAUCUUCCUGCCUCAGCUGAGGAUCCUGCUAAGUAGCUGGUAUUACAAGCAUGUGCCACUUCCCCCAGCUUCAGGGUGUGUUGAAGCCCCUGUGCUUCAUCACAUCUCCAUACUUUUCCGUUGUUCUUCUCUUGUUAGAUUACCUGCUGAACUCCUCCACAACCUACAAAACCCUGCUCUGGCAACACUUCCCCUUUUGACUCCCCAUGUAGAAUUAAUCACACCUCCCUUUGAACCCCAUCUGAAAUUUACAUUGUAGCCACCAACUUGCUCUGGUAAUCACCCGUUUACUGUAGCACCAAGGAUUAUGUUGUCAUCUCUCUGAAUUCCUACGAGAAUGAUGCCAUCCUGGUUUGCCAGGCAGAAUACCAUUGCCUAGAGGCAAGGUCUGAGCCCCAGGCCACAGGGAUGCAGGGGGCCAAAUGGGCCAAGGGAAGGGGUGAUGCAGAGUAGUCUGUGAGCAGAGAGAAGGUCAGUAAAGCUGCUGCCAGGUCAGAAGGAGGCCUGACUCAAAGCCUCCGUGUUUGGCAAAGGGUAGCAACCUUCCAGAGGACAGCUUAGCUCUGGGGGAGGAGACAGAUGUCAUAAAGCAGGGGUCAAGGAGGCGAUGGAAGAUGCGGGGCUUGAGCCCCUAUUCAGAGGCUGGAGAGAGGGCCUCCAGAAGACACCUGAGAGGGAAGAGGUGUGAGUGGAACAGAGUUAACUGAGACUAGGACAGGGAAGCGGGCCUGGAGGAGGACAGGCCUGGACUCUCCAGGAGGAGCCUGCCUGUUUCAGAGCAUAGAAGAAAGCACCCAGGCUGCAUGCUUUGGGUCCCCCAGGUUCACAGGGGGGAAAGUGAGUGGGACCUUAACUGAGAUUGCCAGGGUCCCCAAAAAAGGGAUCUCUGCUGGAGUAAGGAGCCCUGGGAUACAAGUAGCCUGUGAUGUCAAGUGAAGGCUCUACACCAGGGUGUCAGGCCUAACAGGGACCAUCCCAUGAGUCCUUCCUCUUCCACACCCAGCACAUGCCUGGCCCAUAGUAGGUGCUUUAUGAGUGUGUAUUGAGGUGUGAAUGGAAUUUGUCUUUAGCAGAUGUAGAACAGAGUCAGUGCAGUGCACAGUGAAGUGCUGUGUGGAUUUUAAUGCCUCAUAUAAAGAAGGGCCCUGUCCUGCCCCCGAGUCGUCCAGGGAAUGGGGCCAUAUCCUCCCCAUGGAAGACAGGCACAGUGACUACACCAGAUAGCAGAGAGGACAAAUAGGCAGCCAGUCCGUGGAGACCAGGCCUGCAUGAAGGAAGAAUGUCAACCAAAUGCUGAAGACAGAUCUGAACUCCUGGAGGACUCAUCAGGAGACUGUGUAGCAUACCUACUAUGUGCAAGUUCCAAAGAUAACACAUGCUUCCCAAGAGGAAGGCCUGGGUCUCAAACACUAGGAAGAAGGCUGUGAGCUCUUUGGGUCUAGGUGACUGAGAUAAGGUGAGCCAUGGGUAAAGAUAGCCAAGUGUGUCUGUAGGGACAUUGGGGAUCUGUGUUCCAGGGAAAAAUGGAGGUGGCUGGGGGCAGGCACCACCCCCCUGCAGUGUAUCCCCAGGUGGACCUCAGGGUAAGAGACCUGGUAGGAGGACACCACUGCUCUCCCUGGCUCUGCCUGCUUCUCAGGACACCUGCUGGCAGACCUAGAACCUGCCGGGGCUGACCUGGCUGCUUUCAGGUUAUUCCGGUUUGGGCAAGAACAUUUCCUGACACCCCAUGACAGGUACCUACCCAGCAGCACCCUGGCCUGGAGAUGAAAGGGGAGCAGGGCAACCAGGAGCUGCAUUUAUAAACAGGCUUUGGAGACAGUUGUGUUUCUGAGGCCCCAGUUUCCCCAGUGACGGGGGACCUAGACGUCAGUUCCCCUUUAAGAACUGGCAUCAAGGAAUUGGCUUCUCCAGGAUCUGGCUGGGUGGCCCCAGGCGAGUUGCCAAUGCUAAUAAUAGUAGCAAACACUGGCGCCAGGUUCUGCGCUCAGCACUUUACGUAUUUUGACUGGUAAGACAGGUGCUCUUGGUGCUGCCCCCACUUUAGUAAGGAGAACUGGCCAUGGGGUGAGGUGCACUUAGCCUUCAGACUCCAGAAUCUGGACUCUAAACCAGAGCUUGGCAACCUGUUUUUAAAGUUAUUAUUAUAGUCAUCUCUUGGUAUCUGCUAGGAUUGGUUCCAGGACCCACACCCAUGGAUAUCAAAAUCUGCAGAUGCUCAAGUCCCUUAUGCAAAGUGACAUCUUUGCAUUUACCCUACGCGGUCUCCCAUGUAUGUUAAAUCAUCUCUAGAUUACUUAUAAUACCAAAUAUAGUAUUAAUGCUAUGUAAACAGUUGUGAAACUGAAUUGUUUAGGGGACAAUGACAAAAAAGUGUACAUAUUCACUACAGAUGUAGCCAUCAAGGCCUAACUACAUAGUCCACAUUAGUGGCAAUGUGACAUUUUUUCUGUCCUGAAUAUUUUCAGUCUGUGGUUGGAUGUGGAACCUUUGGUCCAAAUGUAUCUCUCAGCCUCACAGACACACUGUAUCAGCCCUGCUCUGACUAACAGCAUUGUCAAAGGGCUCUUUAAGAUUCUAAAGCGGGCACAGUGGUCUGUGCCUAUGAUCCCAGCUACCGAGUAGGGGAGGCUGAGGCAGGAGGAUCACUUGAGCCAGGAGUUUGAG
rnacentral:lncRNA from 1 species